rnacentral:lncRNA from 1 species
CCAUUUCACAUCGUAACCAACAAGUGUCAACUGUAUUGAAGAGUUAAUGCUUCAUUAGGGCAGUACUACAGGUUCACUGAUACAGAAAUAUUUCAAGGCCCUGCAAUCUAGUCAGAAACAAUUGUCAAUGAAGUUAUCCUCUGUGAGGCCAACGGCUAUCACCUAUGCCUUUUAAGAUGUGACGAGUAUUCCAUCGAACAAGGGUUCAUACGGGCAUUCCACUGAUUCAUUUACUCAGGGCAAGUUCACGC